rnacentral:rRNA from 1 species
AGAUUGAACGCUGGCGGCAUGCCUUACACAUGCAAGUCGAACGGCAGCACGGGAGCAAUCCUGGUGGCGAGUGGCGAAAGGGUGAGUAAUAUAUCGGAACGUGCCCAGUAAUGGGGGGAUAGCCCGGCGAAAGCCGGAUUAAUACCGCAUACGACCUACGGGUGAAAGCGGGGGAUCGCAAGACCUCGCGUUAUUGGAGCGGCCGAUAUCAGAUUAGCUUGUUGGUGGGGUAAAAGCCUACCAAGGCGACGAUCUGUAGCUGGUCUGAGAGGACGACCAGCCACACUGGGACUGAGACACGGCCCAGACUCUACGGGAGGCAGCAGUGGGGGAAUUUUGGGACAAAUGGGCGAAAAGCCUGAUCCA